rnacentral:piRNA from 1 species
UGUAUAUGUAGUAACGAUAGU